UGGGGAAUCUUGCGCAAUGGGCGAAAGCCUGACGCAGCCAUGCCGCGUGAAUGAUGAAGGUCUUAGGAUUGUAAAAUUCUUUCACCGGGGACGAUAAUGACGGUACCCGGAGAAGAAGCCCCGGCUAACUUCGUGCCAGCAGCCGCGGUAAUACGAAGGGGGCUAGCGUUGCUCGGAAUUACUGGGCGUAAAGGGCGCGUAGGCGGAUCGUUAAGUCAGAGGUGAAAUCCCAGGGCUCAACCCUGGAACUGCCUUUGAUACUGGUGAUCUUGAGUAUGAGAGAGGUAUGUGGAACUCCGAGUGUAGAGGUGAAAUUCGUAGAUAUUCGGAAGAACACCAGUGGCGAAGGCGACAUACUGGCUCAUUACUGACGCUGAGGCGCGAAAGCGUGGGGAGCAAACAGG
rnacentral:rRNA from 1 species